AGGGAUUGCCUCAGUAACGGCGAGUGAAGCGGCAACAGCUCAAAUUUGAAAUCUGGCUCCUUCGGGGUCCGAGUUGUAAUUUGCAGAGGAUGAUUUGGGUACGGGUUCCUUCCGAGUUCCCUGGAACGGGACGCCAUAGAGGGUGAGAGCCCCGUCUGGUAGGACACCCAGCCCGUGUAAAUCUCCCUCGACGAGUCGAGUAGUUUGGGAAUGCUGCUCUAACGGGAGGUAUACUCCUUCCAAGGCUAAAUACCGGCUGGAGACCGAUAGCGCACAAGUAGAGUGAUCGAAAGAUGAAAAGCACUUUGAAAAGAGAGUCAAAUAGCACGUGAAAUUGUUGAAAGGGAAGCGCUCGCUACCAGACAUGGGUUAGGCGGUUCAACCGGGGCCACGCCCCGGGGCACUCCACCUGCCCAGGCCAGCAUCAGCUUUCCGUCGGGGGCAAAGGCGUCGGGAAUGUGGCUCCCCUCCGGGGGAGUGUUAUAGCCCGUCGUGUCAUACCCUUCGGGGGGCUGAGGUACGCGCAUCUGCAAGGAUGCUGGCGUAAUGGUAGCUAGUGACCCGU
rnacentral:rRNA from 2 species